GGGGGCGUAGCUCAGCUGGGAGAGCGCGUGGAUCGCACCCACGAGGUCAGGGGUUCGAGCCCCCUCGCCUCCACCA
rnacentral:tRNA from 2 species